AAACUCAAAGGAAUUGACGGGGGCCCGCACAAGCGGUGGAGCAUGUGGUUUAAUUCGACGCAACGCGCAGAACCUUACCAGCCCUUGACAUCCCGGUCGCGGACUCCAGAGACGGAGUUCUUCAGUUCGGCUGGACCGGAGACAGGUGCUGCAUGGCUGUCGUCAGCUCGUGUCGUGAGAUGUUGGGUUAAGUCCCGCAACGAGCGCAACCCCCGUCCUUAGUUGCUACCAUUUAGUUGAGCACUCUAAGGAGACUGCCGGUGAUAAGCCGCGAGGAAGGUGGGGAUGACGUCAAGUCCUCAUGGCCCUUACGGGCUGGGCUACACACGUGCUACAAUGGCGGUGACAAUGGGAAGCGAAGACGCAAGUCCUAGCAAAUCUCAAAAAGCCGUCUCAGUUCGGAUUGGGCUCUGCAACUCGAGCCCAUGAAGUUGGAAUCGCUAGUAAUCGUGGAUCAGCACGCCACGGUGAAUACGUUCCCGGGCCUUGUACACACCGCCCGUC
rnacentral:rRNA from 1 species